rnacentral:misc_RNA from 1 species
GAUGAAGGAACGUAGCGAAAUGCGAUAAGUAAUGUGAAUUGCAGAAUUCAGUGAAUCAUCGAAUCUUUGAACGCACAUUGCGCCCGCCAGUAUUCUGGCGGGCAUGCCUGUCUGAGCGUCAUUUCAACCCUCAUGCCCCUAGGGCGUGGUGUUGGGGAUCGGCCAAAGCCCGCGAGGGACGGCCGGCCCCUAAAUCUAGUGGCGGACCCGUCGUGGCCUCCUCUGCGAAGUAGUGAUAUUCCGCAUCGGAGAGCGACGAGCCCCUGCCGUUAAACCCCCAACUUUCCAAGGUUGACCUCAGAUCAGGUAGGAAUACCCGCUGAACUUAAGCAUAUAAUAAGCGGAGGA